AGGAUCCCGGGAGGGGAGAGGAUCCCGGGGCGAUCCCGGGGAUCGGGGCAGGGCCCGGCCCCGGCCCCGGCCAGGCAGGAGAAUCCUGACGGUGCAGAACGCAGCGCCGCUAAUCCCGGGAUUAGCGCGGCUCGGAGCGACGGGAGGGGGCGGCGGGGACGGGGACGGGGACAGGGACAGGGAAUGGGACAGCCCCUCUGGAGUCGGGAUCGGCACCGGCGCCCUUGGAAAUGCGGGAAUUGUAGGGGAAAAGUGGGCUUGGAGUGGGGGAAAAGUGAAAUUGGAGGGGGAAAAGCGGGGCUGUAGGGAAAAAAUGGAAUUAUAGGGGUUAAAAUGGGUUUGUGGGGGAAAGAAGUAGAUUUGGAGGGAAUAAGGUGAAUUUGGAGGGAAUAAGGGGGAUUUUGAGGGAAUAAAGUGGAUUUGGAGGGGAAAAAGGCUCUGAAAUGUGAAUUCCCAUGUGAGGCUGAGGAUGAUGAUGAUGAUGGGGAUAAGCAUCCCGGAGCUGUCGGUGCCCUGGGAGCUGGAUUUUCCCCUCCUGGAAAUCCCUUUUCCCACCCCAAAGUGCCCUCCCUGACCCCAGUCCCUCCCCCUCCCGCCAAAACCCCGGGAAAAGUCGGGAAUGUUCUGGGAGCUGAAUUCCCUUUGUGCUGGGAGAGGGAAAUCCCGGGAAUGGGGGAGGUUCCAGCCCCAAAUCCCCAAAUUCCCAAAUUCCCUCCUCACGGGAGCCACGGCGCUCCCCAGCCCUGCAGGGAGAUCCCAAACAGGUGGAAAAUGGGCUGGAAAAGGAGAAAAACUCCAAGGAAUAAUUCAUUUCCAGGAGUUUCCAUCCCUGAAAUCCCAGGAGAACCCGGGACACCCCAGGAGGAGGAGUCAGCAAUGAGGAAAACAGGGAAAAACAGGAAAAAAAACAGGGAAAAAAUGGAUUUUUUCCCCCAGGAUCCGAGUGGGAGGAGCUCCAGGAGGCGCUCCCAGGAUUCCGACCCUUGGAAUCGCCUGGAUCAGCAGAUUCGACUCCCAUGGAGAAAAAUUUGAGGAAUUUUUCCAUUUUUCCAUCAAUUCCAGCUCCAACAGAGAAAUCCUGUUCAUUUCAUUCCUUUUUUUUGUGAUUUAGGGUCUGGAUUGGGAGGAAUUUGGGCUCUUUUUUCACAAAUUACAGGAAAAUUUUGUUCCUUUUCCAGCA